AAUUAAGCCCUAAAGUGCCAUGAGUGUAUAAUAAGGCAGAGAGAAUAGAGGCAAAGAGAUCUCAAUGGGACAAGUGCCCACCUCUUUGUUUCACUCAUAAACUUGCUACUUGAUACUUCUUCCUUCCUUCACCUACUUCAUUCUCCUAAUAAUUCACUACAGGAAAUAUUAGCUUGGAAAUUAUCAAGAAUCAAAGUGCAGUGUUCUUUCCAGAAAUUAAUAGAUCUUUCAAGCCAUCACAAAUAAAGGAAUGUGCAUCUGGGCUUGUGCAGGGGAGAUAGCACCAUGAUGGGCCUUGGGCCCAUAGUCAAUAAUGAAACAUUGUGUAGUUCUUUUGCUUACAAAAAUGUUUCAAUUAAAUGUUGUUCAUCAAUAUGGAGCAACUACAUACAAAGAAACUCUCUACCAUUGCUCAAUUUCUCUAAGCACAAGGACAAUAAAAUAUUAUAUGUUGCUGCUCUUUGCAUCUUGGUGUUGCUUCUUCAAGGCUGUGAUGGAUAACUGUGGGAGCAUAUAUCAAAUUUCAUUUAUGACUUAUAACUAAGUUCAUGAAUGAAAAUGGUCAUAAUUAUCAAACCAAAAUACCCUCUUGUACAGAACAAGGAUAUAACCCUACCGAUGACUCCUUUCGUUUUUAUACAUAAGUAAAUUUUUAUUUUUUAAGUUCAUUCAAUUAUUAAUAUAAUUGAUUCAUAUUAUGGACCAAAUAUAUUAAUAAUUGAAUAAAUUUAAAAAAUAAAAAUUUAUUUAUAUAUAAAACCGGAUGAAAUAUGUUUUUUUGGUAAGGUUCUUGUGCUGUUGCUGAAGAGAGUUCCCCUUGACAACUUCAAAUUUGACUUUGUUUUUAAAUAUUUGCUGAUCAGUACUAAACUUGAUCACGGCUUUAGUCUAUUUUUGUACUUUUAUUGUUGUAAUAGUACUUAUGAGAUUUAUCUUCUAGAACCAUCUUUGGAAAUGUAAUAAAUUUUAUAUUAUUUAUGUUUACUUAUUGCCGUGUGAGAUUA